GAUGAACGCUGGCGGCGUGCCUAAAACAUGCAAGUCGAGCGAACGGACGAGAAGCUUGCUUCUCUGAUGUUAGCGGCGGACGGGUGAGUAACACGUGGAUAACCUACCUAUAAGACUGGGAUAACUUCGGGAAACCGGAGCUAAUACCGGAUAAUAUUUUGAACCGCAUGGUUCAAAAGUGAAAGACGGUCUUGCUGUCACUUAUAGAUGGAUCCGCGCUGCAUUAGCUAGUUGGUAAGGUAACGGCUUACCAAGGCAACGAUGCAUAGCCGACCUGAGAGGGUGAUCGGCCACACUGGAACUGAGACACGGUCCAGACUCCUACGGGAGGCAGCAGUAGGGAAUCUUCCGCAAUGGGCGAAAGCCUGACGGAGCAACGCCGCGUGAGUGAUGAAGGUCUUCGGGUCGUAAAACUCUGUUAUUAGGGAAGAACAUAUGUGUAAGUAACUGUGCACAUCUUGACGGUACCUAAUCAGAAAGCCACGGCUAACUACGUG
rnacentral:rRNA from 1 species